UACGGGGGGGGCAAGCGUUGUUCGGAAUUACUGGGCGUAAAGGGUUCGUAGGUGGCUCGCUAAGUCAGACGUGAAAUCCCUCAGCUUAACUGGGGAACUGCGUCUGAGACUGGCAAGCUCGAGUGCAGGAGAGGAACGCGGAAUUCCAGGUGUAGCGGUGAAAUGCGUAGAUAUCUGGAGGAACACCGGUGGCGAAGGCGGAUCUCUGGGCCUUACCUGACGCUGAGGCGCGAAAGCUAGGGGAGCGAACAGG
rnacentral:rRNA from 1 species